UAAAGAGGGAGCAUUUAGUGCUAGAAAAUUAAAAUCCCAUCAGUUUAAACAAGAUUUAAAAGGGUUUCUCAAAUAAAAUGCAGACACAUAAUCUAAAAGACAGAGUUCUGAAAUAGCUGGGAGGUAUUUGUGUGCACAUCCUGUUAUGUAUUAAGGUGUGAGGGUAUGUAUAGCAGAAGUGCAGGUCAACAGAAUGAAUGAUGUUGUUAAAAGUUUAUGGGAUGAAGUUCACAAGAUUCAGACAGGUCCCAGAGCUUGGAAAGCACUCCCUGUUCUACCUUUCCUGUUUGAUCAAUUUCCUUAAAUGAGGAACUGAGUUCCUGUCCUAUCAAUGAACUAAAAGACGAGUCUCUGCAAGCCUGGAUGAUUGCGGUUUGAGCUCCAGUCGAUUGAAAUAAAGCUCAAACAAUCAUUUGGUUCAAGUACAGCCUGACAGAUGAGCCCGGCACACCCUGAAGUCCAACCGUCUCACACCUCACUGCUCUUUUGUUUGAGCUGGUUGCUGUUUCACCUGCCUCUCUGGGCCCCAUUUCCAGUCUUGAGGGCAUUUUUUUUUCUGGCACAGUUGAGCAUUUUCUGUAGAAUAUCAACACCGGGUUCAAGUAAGCUCUGGGGAAGGAAAAAUGACCACAAGAGACAGAAGAAACUGCAACUUAUUGAUUUUGCAAUGUAGGCUUUACAAAACUUCGAGAGCACUCAUAACCUUGCAAUCUUCCCCUAAGACUGAGAAUAAAUCAGCGAACUUACCUCGUUAUAGAAAAGUGUGUGAAGCAAAAAACACUCUAGAUCUAAAUCUUAUGUAGCUGCUUUGUUGCUGAUGCUUCGCAUUACAACAGGAAGUGAAAGCAGAAAUCAGAUAUCAGGUUCUGGACCAAACAUGUUUCCUGUUGAAUUCUGACCACAAAAUUCAUCUGUAAUGUAUUUUAAGACUAGAAAGUCAAUCAACAACUUCAUGAUUUGUGGAGGAUUCAUGACUUAAUAAAUAAAUCACAUGGUUUGGGUUGCUGCUGUUUCAAAUUAGGGCGACACAGUCAUCUCACACAACAUGCAAAGUCUUUGGUCCACAGUGUGUUAGUAGGGAUGCAAAUGGCAUCACUUUCAGUUGCUGGAGUCUGGGUAGAGAUUGUGCGCUGAUAUGUUAUUGUUUAUCAGGAGCUUAAAUCAUCCCACGAUGACAGAUAGUACACUAAUGUUAUCAAUAAGCACUUAAUGGCUGCAUGCUGCUACAUUUUUGGGUUUCUUGUAAGCAAUGAAGUAAGAGGAUCUUUUUUUCCGGUGAGGUGCUCUGACGGUUAACUUGCCAGACCUGAUUUUCUACUCUCAAGUUCAUGCAACGCCCAUGUGGACUUAGCUCCGAAAUGCAUGUGUGAACACUUUCAUAAGCACAUGUUCAUACAGGGCUGCCUUCCUUUACCCCAUAUGCUUUUUAUUCUCUCACAUCUGUAGGGCUGCCUUUAUUUCCUGCUAUUAAAAUAAACCUUUUAGGCCUUAACAGCUGCACCCUGUUGCUGUCCCAUAUACUAAAUAUAAUGUGUGUGUAAGAGGAGACCCAUUCAUGGUUGUGUCACAGAGGUCUGUGUAUUCCCAGGGAUGUAAGGCUUCACUGGUGGUCACACAGAAGUGUGUGUGAUCAGGGUGGGACUGUGGAGAAUUGAUGAUUUGGCUGGGUGGAGUGUAGGCACUUUCUGAUUUAUACAUCUUCUUCAAGCACAUUUAGGCUAAAAGCAAUCUCAUAAAUCUUUUUGAUCAUACACACUUCUUCAACGUGGCAAUAAGGAGGGUGUGGUGACAUUUACAGACCUGUAUUAGUAUAAGAUUUAAUGUCUUAAUCUUAAUCAAACUCCACACAGCUUGCAGGAUUAUCCUGAGAAAUCCAGUAAUAGUUGGCUUGCAAAAUUAAAAAGCAAUUGGUUCAAAAGGUGAAGUGACUAACAGAGCAGAACAGGGUUGUGUAACUUUUUACUUCACUUUAUCAGAUAGCUGUAUUGUUUGGCAUAAACUGUCGCUCUUAUAUGCUUCCUAUGGCAAGAGAGUGUGUUCAUUUUUUACACAAAGGGUAUGACUGCAUUACCCCAAGAAACUCUAACGCCGGUGUCUUAUCUUUCAAACAAGAAACAGUUAUACCAGUUAUACUUGCCACUCUGGUAUUUCUUGCUCAUUAAACGAACAUCAAGGUUAAACUGUUGCAAAUAUGAACUCAGAAAAAUGUUUUUUACGACUGCAACAUACCUUAACAUUUUGAUUUCUUUUCUUUCUUCUUUUUUUUUUUUUUUUUUUAGAUUGAGCAACGUAUGAAGCGCUUCUGUGUUCCUGGAAAGUGGGAGGAUAAACUUUCGCAACGAUGAUCCCCUCAAUGUCACUGUGGUAAAUCUCUUUACUCUGCACUUUAGGGGAGAGAAAAAAAAACAGCCAGACACAUUGAGCAAUGUUUCCACCAUGUUAACUGGUUGU